rnacentral:rRNA from 1 species
GUAGGUGGCAAGCGUUGUCCGGAAUUAUUGGGCGUAAAGCGCACGCAGGCGGUCCUUUAAGUCUGAUGUGAAAGCCCACGGCUCAACCGUGGAGGGUCAUUGGAAACUGGGGGACUUGAGUACAGAAGAGGAAAGCGGAAUUCCAAGUGUAGCGGUGAAAUGCGUAGAGAUUUGGAGGAACACCAGUGGCGAAGGCGGCUUUCUGGUCUGUAACUGACGCUGAGGCGCGAAAGCGUGGGGAGCAAACAGGGAUUAGAUACCCUGGUAGUCCACGCCGUAAACGAUGAGUGCUAAGUGUUAGGGGGUUUCCCGCCCCUUAGUGCUGCAGCUAACGCAUUAAGCACUCCGCCUGGGGGAGUACGGCCGCAAGGCUG